CGCAGCAACGCCGCGUGGGGGAUGAAGGCCUUCGGGUUGUAAACCSCUUUCASGAGGGACGAGAUUGACGGUACCUSCAGAAKAAGCACCGGCCAACUACGUGCCAGCAGCCGCGGUAAUACGUAGGGUGCGAGCGUUAUCCGGAAUCAUUGGGCGUAAAGAGCUCGUAGGCGGUUCARCAAGUCGGCUGUGAAAUCCCGAGGCUCAACCUCGGAACUGCAGUCGAUACUGUUGUGACUAGAGUCCGGUAGAGGAGAGUGGAAUUCCCAGUGUAGCGGUGAAAUGCGUAGAUAUUGGGAGGAACACCGGUGGCGAAGGCGGCUCUCUGGACCGGUACUGACGCUGAGGCGCGAAAGCUAGGGGAGCAAACGGGAUUAGAUACCCCGGUAGUCCUAGCCGUAAACGAUGAGCACUUGGUGUAGUGGGUGUCGACCCCCGCUGUGCCGGARCUAACGCAUUAAGUGCUCCGCCUGGGGAGUACGGUCGSAAGGCUGAAACUCRAAGGAAUUGACGGGGGCCCGCACAAGCGGUGGAGCAUGUGGUUUAAUUCSACSCAACRCRAAGAACCUUACCUGGGUUUGAACCGCCGAGGCUCGAUGCWRAGAUGUAGUUUCCCUUCGRGGCUUCKGUAGAGGUGCUGCAUGGCUGUCGUCAGCUCGUGUCGUGAGAUGUUGGGUUAAGUCCCGCAACGAGCGCAACCCUUGCCCUCUGUUGCCACCA
rnacentral:rRNA from 1 species